rnacentral:lncRNA from 1 species
CCAGAUUGAAAGGGGCGUGGGGCCAGUCAGAGCUCUCGGUUCGGGGCGAGGGUGGGUGCUCGGGUGUUCCGCGCCUCUCAGUAAGGGCGUGGUCUCCGCGAGAGGCGGGAACCGAAGAAAGGUAUGGGGGAGGGUUGUUUCUCCCCCCCUCCUUUUCUGAGCAUGCGCGCUGUUGACUUGCACUGGGUAAGGCUAAGGUUGUCUGUUUGGAAGGAAGGAAGGGGUGGGGGAUGGGGACGGGCCUGCCGGUUCCCCCCCCCCAAAUCCCGCGCUUUUUAGUUCUGAGGAAGGAAACGGCUGUGGAAAGCAAUGCAGGCCGCACGCCCGUUUGCUCGGAAGCAAGCCUCUCGGGCUCCAAGGCGGCUUCGUUGCCAAGGAGCAGGGCUUGAAUGGCAGCCGUGUGGCGGGAUGUGGCCGCGCAGGGAGCCGAGGCACGAGGGCGGGGGCCGAAUCCAGGAUGCAGAGAUGUUGGGUGACUUGAUUUGUGAUGGCUGCUUGAACUCGGCUAAGGAGGAACCGGCGGGGAAGGAACCGAGAGGGCUGUGUAUCUGGUCCGGCCUUGGAAGCGAAAAUGGCUGUGUAAACGCACUAGCAGCAAACCAGUGAUAGGUUUGGUUUAUUUAUUCAUUUUUCAAGAUCCAGGCUAACGUGUUUUUUUUUAAACUCCCUCGACCCACCCACCCCCACCCGCCUCAGACUUCUGGUCGACAUGGAAAGCUUGCACACUGUUUUGCAACAUCUGGAGGGGACCUAACGCCGCUGUUUGACCAGCUCUGGAUUUUGGAAGGCCUCCACCUUUUUAUUAUGACGCUUGGAUCUUUCCUCCAAGGUGCUUAUGGGGACCAUAAACGGCCCUGUUAUUAAUAUAUUUAUUAAUUACCCUCCCUUCAACCCAAGGUCCCAGGGUGAGUUACAGCAAUUAAAACAAAAUGUUCAGAAUAGUUUACAACAACUUACAAGCCUCCAAAUAACAUGGCUCCGGAAAAUAUACCUCUCCUGUUCCUGUUUUUGAAAAUGCAAAUAAAAAUUAAAAAAGAAAAUAUAUCUUUCCGGUAUCAAAAGCCAGGGUAAAGAGGUGUCUUCAGCAUUUGCCAAAAGCCGUAUAAUAAAGAUGCCCAGUGUGCUCCACCCAUCUUUUUCAUCUUCCCAACAAACCUGAGAGUUAAGUUAGGCUAGGACUACAAAGAGCGACUGGACCAAAACCAGCAAGUUAGGCUGUGUACACAUUCCUGUUUACUCUCCAUGUAAUAGCCACAAUCUAUAUUGUCUUGUUUCUGAUGAAAUGUUGCUCGCUGGAAACUGGGGGGCAGGGGGAGAGAAUGAUGCAUUUUUUUUUAAAGCAGCAGUGCAUACACAGCCUCUGUUUCAUGUGGAUUUGAAUCUGUGUCUCCCCAGUCCUAGCCCAGUUUAUGAAGCUAUCAACUUCAUGUAACUCAACAGCCCCUCAUUUCAAUUCUCUGGCCCUGGGAUGUAAUCUGGGAUUAGGGUGGGUGCAUUUCUGAGAUCUUGGAGUCAACUGUUUCUCACCUGUAUGUUCAUUGCUUAUUCAUGACUCUUGUCCUGCCCUGCAUAGUGCUGCCUCAAUACUCAAAAUAGGCACAGCUUCUUCUGGUGGUAUUUUUGGCAUGAAGUCAUACAUUUCUCACACAUUUUUGACUCUCAGCUGUGCUUGCUUCUGAAGGAAGCCUGUUCGUAUUAGUGAGUUUACUUUGGAGAAAAAGCCACUGGGGAACAGUAGCCUGUUUCAUAAUCGGCAAGAAGGCACUGUCACAAAUUUCAGGGUCUUUUCACCUUUCAGUCAUUAAUGGUGUUUCAGCAUGUACUGCUGUAAUUUGAUCUGACAUUGCAGUUUCACUGAAGAUAGGUGCUUCCCCAUGUGUGAAACACUACAACCAACAUGUAGGUUAGUGUGAGAACAUAAUCUCAUUGAUAAGUUUCUUGCAUGUUAAUGGCAAUAACUAGUCUCUGCAAGUGAACUACGUUAGCUGUGUACAGGCGUAAAUUUUGCAGAAUUUAUUUUGUGCUUUGAGGUGCACCAGCUGAAGUACACAGUAGUCGCUUGGGGUGGAGUCAGAUGCAAAAUGGUAUCUUGGGGUGCAGCCACUUAAGUAUCACAUCCAAGUACACAUCUACUUUCAUGUGCAAUUAAAGAUCAGGGGCUUUAGCAGCCUAAUUUAAAGUAGCCUUGUACAUAAUCCCACAAAGGUGACCAGCAUGGAAAUAUAUUUACAGUGAUACAUCGGGUUAAGAACUUAAUUCAUUCUGGAGGUCUGUUCUUAACUUGAAAGUGUUCUUAACCUGAAGCACCACUUUAGCUAAUGGGGCCUCCUGCUGCCACCGCGCCGCUGGAGCACGAUUCCUGUUCUCAUCCUGAAGCAAAGUUCUUAACCCGAGGUAAUAUUUCUGGGUUAGUGGAGUCUGUAAGCUGAAGCAUAUGUAACCUGAAGCAUAUGUAACCCGAGGUACCACUGUACUGGCCUGUUGUGGCCUGCCAAGAAGGGGACAAAGGGAUUGGUUCCUCCAACUGCAUGCAGUUGGUUUUUGUUGCUGUUGCUAUUGUCAAAUCUACAAGCAAUAAAGUGGUAGAACAGAGCUUUCCAAACUCUGCGUCACGACAUGUUUGUGUGUAGGUGUGUCGCACAAAUGCUCCCUCCUGGCCCUGGAAAGGGUUCGUUUAACCUCCGGUUUGCUAGUAAAAUUGAAUUACUGUGUCACGAAAUGAUGCAUGUCCAAAAAGCAUGUCACCAACUUGAAAAGUUCUGUGGUAGAGCCUCAUCUACUUUCUGUCUACCCCUGUGUUAGGAAGAGUAUCACUGUGGAUUUGGAACUAAUGAGGGCUUUCUUCACACUUCGCUCCAAAAGUAGUCCGUUACAGUAGCAGCAACCAUGCUCCCUCCAAACCAAAUAGCGACACCUUCCAGAGAAAUUGUUAAUACAGCCUGAAUAAAACUUACCACCCACAGAAAGCUUUAAAGUCAACAGAAUUGAGGCAUAACUUGGGAACAUUUUGGAGUGGCAGAAAAACACAACCUCUCCCAUUCAUCACUGAUUAUUAAGUACUAGCAGAGCAUCAUAGGUUCCUAGGCAAAAUACAUACAGUAAUGCCUUUUCUUUUGUGUCUGUAGGAAUCUGGACAGGCUAACUUGACUAUUGAUUCCAGCAAUAAAGUUCUCCUCAAUCCUAUCCCAUGUUUCAGGAGUACCUGUAGCCCUCCAAAUGUUGCUGAACUGCCCCUCCCAUCAUCCUUGACCGUUACCCAUGCUGGGUGGAGUUAAUGGGAGUCGUGGGCGUAGCCAUGAUUUUUGUUAGUGCAGGCAGGCCUGGGGGGGCGGGCAGAACCUCAGUUUGCUAUGUAUUUUUAUUGAUUUGGGGGGGGAGCUGCCCCACCUUGGCUACACUCAUGGCUGCAGUCCAGUAACAUCUGGAGGGCUCUGGGUUCCCUACACUUGCUGUAUAUACAACAAAGCAGUCAUUUUGGCAUCCUUCAAAAACUAAAAGGGCUUUCCCUCUUGGGACCUCCUGGGUAUCAUGGCUUCUUUGUCCCACUCAGAUUGGAGCAAUGAAUCAAUCAAAGCUCCCUCCAGCUAGUUGCAUUCCCACACAUGCCUUUGGGUGCAUAGACCCUAUACAUUCAAGGUUCACACACUGUGGAAUCCUGGGAACCAUAGUUCUGGGAGUUAUAGCUUUGUACAGGGUAAACUAAACUUCCCAGGAUUCUUUGGAGUGGGAGAAAUGCACCUUAAAUAUAUGGUAUGCACACAGUCCCAAUUAGUUACCCUACCAGGAAGAAUUACAUAGGGCUUACAGUCAGUUCUCUGCCUCCAGUGAGCUUCUGCUUCUUGAACAGCAAGUUGUUGCCCAUUUGUUCUUGCUUCAUAGCUAGCCUUAGGCACAGAUCCUGCACUCUUGCCAGAUCCUUUUGUCUCAGCAGCAGCCAGCUCCCAAUAUUGCCAUAUUCCAUGCAAUUUUUAGCAAUGUUAAGGACACUGUAUAUAACAUUUGUAACCCACCAACUCCUUUUUAAAAAAAUCACAGCAAUGUACAAUAAAUCAUUAAAACAUCAUAAAUGCAGAACAAAUGAGCAACACUUACUGAAAUUAGUCCCACUAGCAAGACAGAAACAUUUUCAGGUGACAAAAUAUCAGGGGCCUGUCAGAUUUCAAUAGGAAAAGUGUCCCAAAUUACUGUUGGCACUAUGCUAAAAGCCUCAAUUCAUGUCAAAGCUAAAUAAAUAACUGUGGGACAGUUGGGAGGGCUUCUUCAGGUGAUCACAGUGGCUGGCCAGUUUGUAAGGGAUAAUGUGAUCUUCUAGGUAGCCUGUUCUUUAGCCAUUUAGGGCUUAAUACACCAACAGUAAUACCUUAAAACUAGCUCAGUAAUGUACUGGCAGCAGUGUAGCGCUUUCAAUGCAGGUAUAAUAUGGUGGUGUGGAGCUGUUCUGGCCAGAAGCUGGGCUAUAGCAUUCUGUGCAAGCUACAGUUUCCAAACCAACCUCAAGGGUAGCCCCACAUAGAACACAUUGCAGUAGUUCAGCUUACAUGUUCAUAUGCACUUAAAUGGAAAUGGAAAAACAGGCCCAGCAAUCAGAACCUAUGCUGUCAUGGAGAUGUCACCUAAAGACCCGUCACUGUCAAAGCUGAUCACUGCAACAUUAUUUCUGAUUUAAUUAUUGUUGUUUUAAAAAAACUGUAGGCACCUGUCUAGGAAUGUACAAGGCGACAGAUGCUAAUUUUACUAUAUUUACUUUAUCUUAUCAUUUUCUACAGCAAAAGUGUGCUUAUUCCCAGGGAAAUGUGUUUAGCAAUCCGGAGGGGGACUCAAGACACAUUUGUCAUUGCAGUAGCCAUACGGGUUCUUUGAUUUAAGUGAGUUUUUAAACACUGAAACUGCGCAUGCUCAGAGAACAUUUUCUUUUGGCAGGGUUGGCUGACUGUUGUGCGUUUUUUGCUCUAACUUAUUAGGGAUAUAGAAGGAGUUGUGAAACAUGGGCCAGUUAUGGAGAAAGGGAGAGGAAAAAUUACUUGUAUGCUUCACAACUAAAGUACACAUGGCCAGCUAAAGCCACUGCCCCCUGAAAGAUAAUUAAGGCCGUGUACACACCAUACAUACAAGGCAUAUCUCUCCCAAAAGAAUAUGGGAACUGCAGUUCACCCCUCCCUGCACCCUUAAACUACAAUUCCCAGGAUUCUUUGAGGGUAAAGUGUGCUUUAAAUGUGAUAAAGUAAAGGUAAAGGGAGCCCUGACCAGUAGGUCCAGUCGUGGCCGACUCUGGGGUUGCGGUGCUCAUCUCGCUUUAUUGGCCAAGGGAGCCAGCGUACAGCUUCCGGGUCAUGUGGCCAGCAUGACUAAGCCGCUUCUGGUGAACCAGAGCUGUGCACGUUUACCAUCUUGCCGGAGCGGUACCUAUUCAUCUACUCGCACUGGUGUGCUUUCAAACUGCUAGGUUGGCGGGAGCAGGGACUGAGCAAUAUUUUAUUUAUUUAUUUACGGCUAUUAGCCCAUAAAGUAUGUACAAACAUAAAAGCACAGAGGCAUAAAAACUAAUAUAUUCGGCACCAGAAGGUGAACACCAUGAUGCAGGGGUGGGUCAUUGAGCAGAGCCAGAUAACAGCUAGGGGCCCGGAGAGCUCCAAGGGACGGAUCCCUGAAAAGGAGAACUGAAGACGGGAUCCGACAUGCACUCUCUUCAAAACUGUCCGAUUAGUUUUUGAUGUUGUUGUUUUUGGUGGUUUUUGUGUGUGAGAUAACUGCAUUCAGGAAUCUCGCCACCUGCAGAGUUACAGAAGGAUCUGUAUCCUGCAAAAGUAGUGCGGCAUGUGACUCAGCAGGCCUGCCAACCAAGCGCAGUAAAGCAGGGCCCAGGAAUUUAGUCCUGGCUAUGCUAUGUCGGGGACAGUUGAACAUUAUAUGUGAGAGAGAAUCAACAGUUUUCCCGUCACACACGCAUAGCGGAGACACCAAACCCUUGGAAAAUCUGUGGCUCAGCAGGUUCGAUGGAAAGACAUUGAACCUUGCACGAAUAAAUGCAUGUCGGUGUGGUACAGAUGAAAGAGAUGACAUGUAUGAUGGAAGGCCAAGUGGUGAGGUUAUUCCGUGAUACCUGGGGGAGCAGACACCCUCACCCCCGGCGAGGUUGUGUUGAUUUUCAAUGUCUGCUAAUCUCUGCUCAAUAAGUCUUUUGGCUGAGCGUAAGUUCAUCUUUAAGGAAUCCGCUGGGGAAAUUCCGAUGCUCAGAAGUUUGGCAUGGAUUUUUCCUACCCAUGGAUUGACAAAGUCGUCCCGCCAGAGGCACUGAAAAAGGUAAUGGUUGGGAAGCCUGUGCCAGCUGGACAGCCAAUAGCCAAAGACUCGCUUCCAGAUGACCGUCUCCAAUGAUGCAAUCCUUAACUCCAGACGUAUGGCUGCGUUGCUCACACACAUGGGGAGUUUCAGGAGGCGACGGAGAAACUGAUUCUGCAAUGUCCCCAACGAUGUUAAAUUGGACCCUGGGGCCCAGAGCGGGGCAGCAUAACAGAGGGUGGAAACCACUUUUGCAUGGUACACCUUCAAUGCAGAAGGGAUGUGGGAGGCUCCGUCGGCCGCAAAAAAUUGGAGUAGAGUAUAAAGUAUUGUUUUCCCUUUGUUUAGUAAAUACUGUAUCUGUGGCUUCCAGCUUAGGUUGUAGUGAAAAAAGACUCCCAGGUAUUUAAAUUUGAAAACUUGUUCUAAUUGGACUCCAUCUAGGAGCUCACCCCAUCACGGGGAUUCGAACCACUGACCUUCUGAUCGGCAAGUCCUAGGCUCUGUGGUUUAACCCACAGAGCUCCACCCGUGUCCCCUUUAAAUGUGAUACUUGUGCAUUAAAUGUAUGGUAUAUAUGCAGCAAUUAUAAUGGCGUUCCGUCAGGUCUGUUCUUAACCUGAAACUGUUCUUAACCUGAAGCACCACUUUAGCUAAUGGGGGCCUCCUGCUGCUGCCGCGCCGCCGGAGCUCAAUUUCUGUUCUCAUCCUGAAGCAAAGUUCUUAACCCGAGGUACUAUUUAUGGAUUAGCAGAGAGUGUAACCUGAAGCAUCUGUAACCUGAAGCGUAUGUAACCCGAGGUACCACUGUAUAUGCAGCACAAGACCAGGUUGCAGACUGCAGUUUUUGUCCUGCUCUUCCCUGUGACUUUGUUGCUCUCUUAGUUGCUGGUCUAGCAGUUUGUGAUCAUCUUUGGGUUCCCUCCCUGCCUUGCUGAUCAAGGCAUUUUUCUAGCAUGGGCAGCAAUUAUAUAUAGGUGACCUAGUGCUUUCCAGGGAAGGAUGUCACAGCUGCUUUGGCUAAAGUGAGAGCAGGAACUCAAAUCCCAAUUCCAGAAGCUGAGUGGUAACUCAAUAUGGGGCGAGGCUCCUGUGUCUGUCCAGUAGUGCUGCAGGAGGUAGAAUUGUUGCAGCUAGUUAUACAGAAUUUGCAAAGUAGUAGCAUUGGAGGUUUAAUAGUGAUAGGCUUUUCAACAACUGCAGCACCUGUGGUUGGGAGAAACUACGUCUGUUCUAAGUAUCCAUUAUAUGAAACAUUGAAAACGCCCAGGAAAGCUGUUCCCUUCUAGCUUUCCUCAUCCAUCCCAUGCUUAUUCUUGUUCCAUUAUUAUUAAAGUGCCCAACCAUAAAGAAUAAUUGACUAGAUUGCUGCAGCCACAUUAAAAUCAAGAAUUUCAAAACAGGUGGCUGAUACCAAUUCUAUGAAAAUGACAGACAUGAUUUCAGAGAAUCAGACAGUGCAAUUUUGCUAAACAGUGGUACUGUCAAAUGGUUUUUUUCAUAAGGAGUUCUAGAGGGUGGUCUUUACUUUGGAAAAGUAAGGGGUUAAAUGUAGCUUUCAAAAAGCUCUAGCAGUCAUCUUAAAAGAGGAGCAGGAGAUGUAACUGUCAUGUGAUUUAUUGCAUUAAAUUGAAUAUUUUGUAGCAUGCAUUUACUUACUUAUAAUGUAAUUUUAAAUUUUCAUUGUAUACUGCCCUGAAAUGCAUUUUUUGGUAAAGGGCAGCUUGUAAAAUUUUAAAAUAAAUAGCUAUUCCGAUUUCUGACCAUGAGUCCAACAUUUCCAGGUUAUGUAGCACAGAUUAGCACAAAGGAGGCAAAUGAGUACCACUCAUGUUCCCUUUUUGUGUAGCACCAGCAUACCUUGCAGAGCUAAUAUACUGAAGUAAAAAGGUAAAGGGACCCCUGACCGUUAGGUCCAGUCAUGGCUGACUCUGGGGUUGCUGCACUCAUCUCGCUUUAUUGGCCGAGGGAGCCGGUGUACAGCUUCCGGGUCAUAUGGCCAGCAUGACUAAACCACUUCUGGCGAACCAGAGCAGCACAUGGAAACACCGUUUACCUUCACGCCGGAGCGGUACCUAUUUAUCUACUUGCACUUUGAUAUGCUUUCAAACUGCUAGGUUGGCAGGAGCAGGGACUGAUCAACGGGAGCUCACCCUGUCGCAGGGAUUCAAACCGCCGACCUUCUGAUCAGCAAGUCCUAGGCUCUGUGGUUUAACCCACAGCGCCACCCGCGUCCCAUAAUAUACUGAAGUAGGCUUCCAAAAACAUCCCAGCCUUCCAGUGAUUUUAUAUAAAGAGGCUGUAUAACUGAUAUUAGCGAACAUUAUUCCCCUAUUGCCAGUUCACUUGUAACCAUAUUACAUAUUCACUGCAAGCAAGCCUUCCAUCUGGAGAGUCCCUUAAAGCAGUGGUGAGGAAGCUUAGGCCCAGUAGUUGAAUGAAGUGCUCAAGGCCUCUCCUGUCAGGCCCUGAGGAAUCCCCAGGCCAUACCCCUCACUGGCUCCCCUCUUGCCCUUAAGCACUUUUGCCUCAUUGGAAUGUUUAGAUUAUUUAGCAAAAUGUAUAUCCCUCUUGAUUGAUGUAAAACCACUAAGCAGUUUACGAGAAAUAUAGCUUAGUCAGUCGAGCAAGGGUCGUGGAUCCCAUGUUGGGCAAAAGAUUCCUGCAUUGCAGAUGGUUUUUAGAUUAUUUUUAGAUUAUCUAGAUUAUUUUUGUGGUCCUUUCCAACUCUGAUAAAGUUUCCCCUUACCUGCCUUAGUGGAUCAAGGCUCAGCAACUGCACAUGAAAAAUCUGAUGCAUAUGUGCAUAUGCAGUGCUUGCACCAGAUUGGUGUGUAUGCAGCCCUGCUUUUCAGAAUAAUUUUAUUAGUCUGUUUCACACGCGCGCACACAAAUCUGCAUACUCCAGUGCAACCCCAUCAAACCCAGUGGAGCUUACUUCCUAUGGAUAACUUCAUAGGACUUGGAAUUCUAAUCUGAGGUAGCCAGGAUGAAAACUGAAGCAGGGUUCCUCUUUAUGCUGGAUUAGUUAAUCCAGGAUAUUUUGUUUCUGGCUCCGCCCAUCAGCUCUGGCUGUGGCUCUGCCCACCACUGACAUGCUUUCCUGGCCAAUUACCCGCAAGUGAUUGUGGUUCCUAGCAAGAAAAAAUGCUGCUUAAGCCUGUCUUAGAUAAGAGAUUUUUUGGAUGUUGUAUUCAUUUUCAUGUUGUGUACCGGGGGGGGGGCGGGCGGUGCUGGAAGAUUUACCCUACCAUUUGUUGGGUUGCACAGUUUAGUGGGUAAGUAAGACUUGGGUGGCGCUGUGGGUUAAACCACAGAGCCUAGGACUUGCCAAUCAGAAGGUUGGCGGUUCGAAUCCCUGCCACAGGGUGAGCUCCCGUUGCUCGGUCCCUGCUCCUGCCAACCUAGCAGUUCAAAAGCACGUCAAAGUGCAAGUAGAUAAAUAGGUACCGCUCUGGCGGGAAGGUAAACGGCGUUUCCGUGUGCUGCUCUGGUUUGCCAGAAGCAGCUUAGUCAUGCUGGUCACAUGACCCAGAAGCUGUUUGCCGGCUCCCUUGGCUCUGGUUCGCCAGAAGCAGCUUAGUCAUGCUGGCCACAUGACCCGGAAGCUAUACGCCGGCUUCCUCAGCCAAUAAAGCAAAAUGAGUGCCACAACCCCAGAGUUGGCCACGACUGGACCUAGUGGUCAUGGGUCCCUUUACCUUUACCUUAAGACACAGGUAUCUUGAACAGAUUCUUGCUGGGACUCUCUGUAAGAUCGAACAAUUUUUAUUUAGCAAACAGCCAAGAAUGUGUUUUUUACAACUGAGUCCCCCCCUCCCACCACCACUCUUGUAAAUCAAGUAGACUAUUUUAUUGAUCAAUAGCUCUGUAUAGAAGUUGACUUCCAGUGUAUCAAAUAAUGUUUUUUGGUCAUGACCUAUGGGCAGACCAGGUCUGCAUCUGAUGUACCUAUUUUGGCUUUGAUUUUGUAUUGAUAUUUUUAUACAGUUGCUACGGCUUAUAACCAAGCGACUAAACCAACUUACCUAUUUAAGAACUGGACCGUUUUAUUGGAAUAUAAAAGAGAGCAGCUCAUAUACAGUGGUGCCUCGCAAGACGAAAUUAAUCCGUUCCGCGAGAGUCUUCGUCUAGCGGUUUUUUCGUCUUGCGAAGCAACCCUAUUAGCGGCUUAACGGAUUAGCGCUAUUAGCGGUUUAGCGGCUAUUAAAGGCUUAAAGGCUUAGGGGAUUAGCUGCUAAAAGGCUAUUAAAGGCUAUUAAAGGCUUAGCAGAUUAGAUAAAGGGGGAAGCGAAAAAUCUCUAGACUCGCAAGACAUUUUCGUCUUGCGAAGCAAGCCCAUAGGGAAAUUCGUCCUGCGAAGCAACUAAAAAACGGAAAACCCUUUCGUCUAGCGGGUUUUCCGUCUUGCGAGGCAUUCGUCUUGCGGGGCACCACUGUAUAGUGUGGUGCUGAUAAUGCCAAGGCUGCAGGUUUGAUUCCUGUAUGAGGCAGUUACAUAUUAUUGCAUUGCAGGGCGUUGGACUAGAUGAUCCUCAGGGUCCCUUCCAACUCUACAAUUCUUCGAUUUUGUGAUUUUUGGUGAGCAUUUUUAAGGCAGGGGAGGGGAACCUUGGGCCCAGGAGCCACGUGUGGCUCUCCAGGCCUUUCUAUCUGGCCCUUGAGACUCCCCCCAGGCCAUACCCCCUCAUUGGCCCUGUUUAACACCCGGCAUAUUUUUUUGCCUGGCUGGAAUGGGUCCUUGAACUCUGCUAAUGCUCUUUACCUGUCUGGAUAUAGGCUAGACUAGAGAUGGGUGAGUGAAUGUGCAUAGAAAUGACAGUAUGGUACAAAUGCAAAAUUCACAUUCAUUGCUCUGCCCAAUUUCGCCUCUGGUCUUGGAAGGCUGCUGAAAUAUACUCAGAGUCGAGUGUGGAUUUCAUGCUCUUUAUUCAGGUCAUAGAAGUGAGGAAUGAAAGUUCCCCCAAAAUAUCUGCUUUAUAUACAUUAUUUACACAAAGGGCUGCACGUGACUGGCUAAUUCCGGGAUUCUCCUGUAGGCCAAUCAGGUUGUGGAUUCACUUCCACCUGGAGCUGGAUUGGGUGGCUCCUGCGGACCAAUCAUACUGCUGCAUUGUUCUAGGAUCAAUCAGACUGCUGCAUUCUGAAUCCUAUUGUUCUAAGACCAAUCAGACUGCUGCAUUUUGGGUCCUAUUCAACUCAGUACAUAACAGCUGCCCAGAAGGGAAUGCAGCCCUCAGGCUGAAGAAAGCGUCCCACCCUUGCUUUAAGCUACCUGGGAUGCUGCUCUGCGGGAAUCGGCCCAUUGCAACAUAAAGGCAGCUAUGUUAGCAGACAGUUGUGUAGCAACAUGAUAGGGGCGUGCCACUGACUCACACUUCCUGCCCUUCCACUGUGGCUUCCAUCUUAUCACACUCCCCUUCCUGGCUGUUGGGAGUUCCCUUUUCCUUCCAACACCUGUUACACUAGCUGUGUGAUGUCCAGAUUGCAGUUUUGGAAAGAAAGAAGAAAGGCUUGCCUCAAAAUUCCCAAUCAAGAAAAGGGACCACAAAUGGUAUCUUCCUGUUCUUCUGAUUAAGCUAUAAGGUUUCCCCGAUCAAUAACACUUUCUGGUUUAUACUUCCCCUAAGAGAGUUAGUUUGUGUAUACUGUACACCGCACUUUUUAAAAAAAAUUAAGUAAAUAAACCGCUUUGAGGGUUUCCCCCCUACAAUCAAGUGGUAUAUAAAAUUUAUGAAGUAAAUAAUAAUGCAUUUAAAGCACAUUGCUCCCCCCCCCAAAAAAAUAAUUUAUGGGAACUGGAGUUUGCCACUCACAAAGCUACAGUUCCCAUAAUCCUGAAUGAACUACAGUUCCCAAGAUUCUUGAAAGCAAGCAGGCAAAGUCAUGUGCUUUAAAUGUUUGGCAUGUGUACGCAGCCCUAAUGUGGUAUUGCAGUUAAGAGUGUUGGACUAAGUUCUCACUUGGCCAUGAAGCUUAUUGGGUUGCCCUGGACUAGUCGUUCUCAAUGUAACUUGCACCCCAAGACUACCGCGAGGACGAAGAUCGGCGAGAGGGGAAGAAGACAAAGUGUACACCAAACUCCUUGGAGGAAGGAUAGGAUAAAAAUAGGAUGGUAAUAUAUGGACAGCUGCCACAUAUCUAAAGCCCAUCUUCAUAUCCUAGACACAGCAGUGAAAUUUCAGUAAUACAAUAUUGUAAUGAAGGAAUGAUUAUGCCCUUGUAAGUUUGGAAAAACAGAAAUGUUACUCAGUUGUGGUGCUCUAGUGCCGCAGCUUUCUAGAUGCAUUCUAAGGUAUGUCUCAGACCAAAAGUGACUGGGCAGCUAGUUUUUUGUUGUUGCUGAAUAAUACCAAGAUGCCCAAAAUGUAAAAGGUAGUCAUGUUGGCCCAUAAGAAAAAUUCCAAAAGGGCAAUACCUUGAAGAGGCUGACCAAAAUAUCACAAAAUAGCAUGCAAGCUUUUGAAUUUUCCAUAACUUUUUAUUCGGGAGCAGGGGAGGUAAGAGAGAAAGAGGAAAAGUAGCUGAGGUUGAAGCAAAACAUCUUAGGUUGAAGCGAGUAGGUAAUAAAUGAAAAUUACAUUUUUAAUUUCAACUUCCGUUAUUGCAGGAUGGAUCUGAUGGGAGUUGUAGUUCAACAGCAUCUGGCGAGCAUCCAGUCAGAGAAAAAGGUAACAGAUCAUAGACAUGGCUUUUAUAACUGAUUGUUUUUAUCAGUAUUAGAAACUGAGAUAUGAAAGCUAGGAGCUGAAUAGCACCUUAAACCUAUGUUAUGGGUGCAAUAACUGAAUAUCUAGGUGCAUGUUUUUUUAUAACAAGAAUACAAAACUGAAAAUGAAUGAACUGCAGCUAAAAUAUUAUGUUCAUCUAGUCCAUCCCCUGCCUACCUCCCUAAUAUUCUUAAGAGGGUCUCUUCUCCAGGCUUCAGACAGUAGCUGGAAAUGGGGAGGCAGAAAAAGGUCCUCCUUUCCUUCCACUCUGCGGUUUUAAUCUGAAAUCUUAGGUGCCCAGGGCUCAGAAACUGCUUGCGCUAAUGAAAUCCCCUGUCGCAAAAUGUCCCUAGAACAAUGGGAGUUUCAAACAUUGGUUUUGAUACCUUGAUACACACCAGUGGCAUUAAUCUGAUUAUUUUAAAUCUUAAACAUACUCAUUUGAAAUACAUUCUUUGAACACAUUCCUUUGAAAUGUGGGGAUUUCUUCCAAGUAAAUGAACCAAGGAUGGGGGUGUUAAAUCUCUCAGUGAUUAGUGAAGUGCACCAUUUGAAGGAAUACGGUUAUGGUGGGAAUGAACCUAGAAAACAUCACAAUAACCAAGGGAGAUUGGGAGCAAUUCUCAUAAGACAAACAGGCCAGAAUAAAUAGACACACAAAUUGGACAUGAGGAACAGGCUUUUGCAUUUGCAUUCUCCCAGGACCCUCUGCCACUGACUUUAAGGUGCUUGUUAUUGAGCAAAAGAACUCCAAAGGGAGGUUGCAAACUUUAAACCACUGAUUUACAAUUUAUGAGGAAGUUCCAUUUUAUCACCUCUGGCUUGAAUCAGUUUUUUAAACAAUCACACUACACCAGUUAAUUCUCUUACCAAUUGAAGGAUGUUUGUGUUAUCACCAGCCCUGCUUUGUGAAUGGCAACUGUUAAGUCUGUUAAGUCAUUUCCCUCUAAACUCACAUUUACAAUUAUCCGCCACCUGAAACUUAGGCUAACACUUAAUUCAUCUGAAGAAAUGGACUGCAGGCUACAAAAAAACUUAUUCUUUAAUAAAUUUGUUAGUUAAGUGCUACAAGACUCUGUGGCUUUUGUUUCAACAGACUUACAUGGCUACCCCUCUGGACAAAGUUAUUAUAGUAAAGAAUUACAGGAUUGUGUCUCAAACUGUGUUAACAUGUACCUUGGUGAUUCCUGGUUCUGCUCUUGAUCUUGCUGUCAUGCAUUCCUAUAAAAUUCAUGCACACAGCUCCACUGUAGCGUUCUACUCUAGUUUAACCCUGAU